CCUGGCGGCCGUAGCGCGGUGGUCCCACCUGACCCCAUGCCGAACUCAGAAGUGAAACGCCGUAGCGCCGGAAGUAUGGCAUUAACUUUCGGGGCAGUUCACU
rnacentral:rRNA from 1 species